CAGGGAGGAGCUGCCCAACCUCUCCAGGUUUAACCUCGAGUCUUCAUCAGCUGCCAAGGCAAGAAACAGGCACAGGGUGACCCUAUGGAGUUCCAGUUGCUCUGACCUGCAGGAAUGGAUGUGACUGUAACUCCUCACAUGGACAUGUAAGAAAAAAACCUGAAAUAAUAUCCCGACAUUUCAAAACUUGCAUAAAGAUCAGGAAUUUGAAGACCUUGGAUGUGCCUGUUAUUGGUUUAUUCACUGCAUAAAAGGACAUUUGCAAAGGACAGAGGGGAUUUCAUUAUAGGACUUAAAGUAAGAAUACAAAAAAUUCCCAGUGCUGAGUGGAGACAAUCUGCAUCUCUGGCCAAGGAUUAUUCCUUAAAUCAGAGCACUGCUAGCAGGACUCUUCACAUUAGCAGGGAAGAUCUGAGCACAGUGACUUGAACCUAAUGCAAUCAUGGCUAGAGCCAGCUAUGAUGUGACAGAUAUUACUCAGAUAUUGAGUCAGGGGUACCUGGAAAUGCAAAUUACAUUGUGGAAGGCUUGAGGAGAUGCUGGCUUAGAGAGCCCAAGAUUUUCAGAGCAGACUGGGGACUGCUGAUACCUCUAAACCAGCAGAACAGCUGCUCCAAAGCAGGCAUCCUCCAAGGAAAGCUAAUGAAGCACUCUGACCAGCAGCUGCUGUCCUUUGUCUUUCCUCAAGGAAGAUUCAGCAUCUCAGAGCCUCCUGGAGUGCGUCAUGCUCAGCUUGGGCAGCCUGCCCAGGGAUCAUUGCCUCUGCUUUGGGCUGGAGGUGUCACUCAGCCACUCUCCUUUGUCACUCAGCCACUCUCCUUUGUCACUCAGCCACUCUUUGCUCUCCCAAAAUGUCAAAGGCAUCUCUCUGGGGUGACAGUGCCAACGUCAUCGUUGUGCCAAGCAAGGAAACAGCUCAUCCCAAACAAAGGUACAGAGCCCUGGAUCCAUGGGAGAGGGAGCUCAAUGGGAAUGGCACUUCGAGAACUUGGGAAUUGAUUUCAAACUCUUCUGCAGAAUUUUGUGGGAAAGUUUUCAAAGUGCUUCUUUACGCCUAUUUAGUUUUAGAAGUGCCUCAGGGCAGCAGUUGGUAGAUAAAUUACAGUAAUAAAAUUAUUACAGUAGAUAAAUUACUGAACAAAAUAAGUAUUACAGUAGAUAAAUUACUGAACAAAGU